rnacentral:rRNA from 1 species
UACGUAGGGGGCAAGCGUUGUCCGGAUUUAUUGGGCGUAAAGAGCGUGUAGGCGGCUUGGUAGGUCCGCUGUGAAAACUCGAGGCUCAACCUCGAGAUGUCGGCGGAAACCACUUGGCUAGAGUCCGGAAGAGGAGAGUGGAAUUCCUGGUGUAGCGGUGAAAUGCGCAGAUAUCAGGAGGAACACCGAUGGCGAAGGCAGGUCUCUGGGCCACUACUGACGCUGAGAAGCGAAAGCGUGGGGAGCGAACAGG